rnacentral:pre_miRNA from 1 species
GUCUGGUUGCCAGGCAGUGUAGUUAGCUGAUUGUGCGAGUGGGUAAUCACUAACCACACAGCCAGGUGAACUGA